rnacentral:misc_RNA from 1 species
UCUCGGUUUACACCGGCAGUUUCGUUAGAGUUCCCGGCUUUACCCGCUGGCAACUAACGAUAAGGGUUGCGCUCGUUAUGGGACUUAACCCGACACCUCACGGCACGAGCUGACGACAACCAUGCAGCACCUUGUAAAGAGUUCCGAAGAAAAUGAAAGUUUCCUCUCAAUGCACUCUACAUUUAAGCCCAGGUAAGGUUCCUCGCGUAUCAUCGAAUUAAACCACAUGUUCCUCCGCUUGUGCGGGCCCCCGUCAAUUCCUUUGAGUUUCAGCCUUGCGGCCGUACUCCCCAGGUGGAUCACUUAAUGCUUUUGCUUUGCCGCUGAUCGGUAUAUCGCCAACAGCUAGUGAUCAUCGUUUACGGCGUGGACUAC